rnacentral:piRNA from 1 species
UUUUGAUAUCUGUCUCAUGUU